CGACUAACAAGCGUUUUCUUCACAGCGACUAACAAGGGUUUUCUUCACAGCGACUAACAAGCGUUUUCUUCCCGGCGACUAUCAAGCGUUUUCUUCACGGCGACUAACAAGCGUUUUCUUCACGGCGACUAACAAGCGUUUCUUUCACAGCGACUAACGAGCGUUUCUUUCACAGCGACUAACAAGCGUUUCUUUCACAGCAUCUAACAAGCGUUUCUUUCACAGCGACUAACAAGCGUUUCUUUCACAGCGACUAACAAGCGUUUCUUUACAGUGACUAACAAGCGUUUCUUUACAGUGACUAACAAGCGUUUUCUUUCACACCGACUAACAAGUGUCUUUUUCACCAGGACUAACAAGCAUUUUUUCCUCACAAACUCUUGCCUGGCUUUAACAGGCUACUACUUUUUUCUUCACAGUCUGUAUUCUGUUCUUCCAAGAUGAUUGAAAAAUGAGUGACGGUGUUGAAUCUCCCUUUGAUGUCCUGGAUUUGUGAUCCGAGGUCAGCGGAAUCAAAGCAUCAAAGGUUAAGUAUCGGAAUGAGAUGAUUACCUCUGGAGGUAACCUACACCCUGAGCCAAUCAUCAAUGCUUUUUGGACAGAGUAGCACCAUCUGCAGAAAGGACUGUGUCAAGUCUGUGCCACAUGAUGAACUGAUGAAGAUGUCUAGCCCUGGCUACAAGUUCAAAAUUUUAAAUUGAACAGUCUCUUGUGAAGUGGUAACUGCAACUGGACCUGCAUGAGCAUCUUGGGAGGGAACAGGUGCCAAGAGUCAUGAUCAAACCACUUUAUUAAGAUGAUGCUCUCUCGAGAACCUACACCCAAUCUUGAUGCCAAUCACUGCUUUUUGGACCAAGUUCCACCAACUAAAGGAGUGUGUCAUAUAAGUCCAUCCAGAUGACUCUUACAUGUCACACGUUCUGUUGAGUUGAUGAGCAAUCUCUUGUUCACUGAUACCAACAGACUUUUUGAAUGAACAUCGUUGGAGGAUGGAGGGGUGAUCACAACUGGACCUGUUUGGAUGAGCAUCUUUGGAGGAUACAGGUGCACAGAAACAACAAUAAACCGCUUGGAUUGAGAUGAUGCCCAUACACCCAAUCUUGAGGCUCAUCAAUGCCACUGUCUGAAGGAGCUGUCUAGCUUGGUGACUCUCUGCUUAAUUCUUGAAGUGACGUAGGUAUUUUGAGCCUAACCAAUGUUUUGGGGACUGCGCUUGCCAUCAACUUAAGGACUACGUCAAGUUUAGCAAGACGAUUCUCCGCUACAAGUUAACGCUUUUUGGAAGACCCCAUAGAAGAAAGACUGUCAAGUCUAACCAGAUAGUGCUCAACAAAUCAAUGGACAAAGGGAUGGUGAAACUAACCAACGUUUUUCGGACUGCCGGCCAUCAGUUGAAAGACUGCGUCAUGUAUCUCCACUGUGAUUUCACCUUGCGUAGUGAUACUUUAUGGAAGUCGUCACAUUAGAAAGACUGUGUCAAGUCUAGCCAGAUGGUGUUAAACUGGAACAAUGAAGAGAGGACCAUCUUAGUUCUUGUCCGAACAUGCAGCUGGCUGUGGCUAUUGCUAUGGCUUCAUUUAAUGCUUUCAUACAUAUUGACAUGGCGGUCAGGCCACACCCACAGCCGCUACCUCAGUGACGGCUUUAUAUUAUUGUUUACUAGACUUUUCUUGAAGCUGUCAAACUCCAAUUACAUUAUUGUCAAUGCAGCUUGUUAAUCCAUCAGUUGAUUUGGAGAUAGAAACCCUGACUUUCUUAUGACAAAGUUGUGAUGUUAAUGUUUUCAACUAUUUUGAGGGAAUAAGAUUUCAAGAUUUGUAAGAUUAAAUUAAUUGAAAGUAUUCUAGGCCCUUCUAGUGAGGCAAACUUGACACAUUGCUCAAUAAGUGUAAUAUUCCAAGAAGUGUGGGAAAAAGAGUACACUGUGAGCGCCAAAUAGACAAAUGCAUUAUUGGAGUGAAAUGCGCGCAUUAGUGAAAUGAGCGCAGAGCAGGGCCCAAUUUUCAUAGAGCUGCUUAAAAAGAAAAUUAUUGCUUACCUUUUUGUUUGUUUGCCACUUUAUGUGCUAAAGCAUGCAGCUCUAUGAAAUUGGGCCCAGACUCUGUUGCGAUAUGGCAACAAUCACAACACCAGGGCUUGGUUUCACAAAGAGCUUAAGAUAAUAAAUUCAGUCUGAGUUACUUGGUAACCUGUGAUGCCACAAUACAAAUCACCAUGGUAAUAUUGACAACUUGUCUUUAGGUAAUUUUAAGUGUUUUUUGUGAAACCGAACUCUCUACUCCUCACCCUAAUACAGACUAACAUACCAUCCGUCGAUUUCAGCAAACUCUUCCCAACUUACAAAUAAUCUUAGGACUUAGGACGAGUCCCAACCCUGCACUGGAGCAUGCAG